rnacentral:rRNA from 1 species
UAGGGAAUCUUCGGCAAUGGACGGAAGUCUGACCGAGCAACGCCGCGUGAGUGAAGAAGGUUUUCGGAUCGUAAAGCUCUGUUGUAAGAGAAGAACGAGUGUGAGAGUGGAAAGUUCACACUGUGACGGUAUCUUACCAGAAAGGGACGGCUAACUACGUGCCAGCAGCCGCGGUAAUACGUAGGUCCCGAGCGUUGUCCGGAUUUAUUGGGCGUAAGGCGAGCGCAGGCGGUUAGAUAAGUCUGAAGUUAAAGGCUGUGGCUUAACCAUAGUAUGCUUUGGAAACUGUUUAACUUGAGUGCAGAAGGGGAGAGUGGAAUUCCAUGUGUAGCGGUGAAAUGCGUAGAUAUAUGGAGGAACACCGGUGGCGAAAGCGGCUCUCUGGUCUGUAACUGACGCUGAGGCUCGAAAGCGUGGGGAGCAAACAGGAUUAGAUACCCUGGUAGUCCACGCCGUAAACGAUGAGUGCUAGGUGUUAGGCCCUUUCCGGGGCUUAGUGCCGCAGCUAACGCAUUAAGCACUCCGCCUGGGGAGUACGACCGCAAGGUU